ACGGGUGACGAAUACUUCACAAUCCGCCUUAUUGUGGGGGAUAACGUAGGGAAACUUACACUAAUACCGCAUAAGACCGAAUGGUGAAAGUGGGGGACCCCAAGGCCUCCCGCGAUAAGAUGAGCCGAUGUCCUAUUACCUAGUUGGUGAGGUAAUGGCUCACCAAGGCGACAAUCCGUACCUGGUCUGAAAGGAUGAUCCCCCCCCCUGGAACUGAGACACGGUCCAAACUCCUACGGGAGGCCCCAGUGGGGAAUAUUGGACAAUGGGCCCAAGCCUGAUCCAGCCAUGCCGCGUGGGUGAAUAAGGCCUUCGGGUUGUAAAGCCCUUUUGUUGGGGAAGAAAUCGUACGGGGUAAUAUCCCGUGCGGAUGACGGUACCCAAAGAAUAAGCACCGUCUAACUUCGUGCCAGCAGCCGCGGUAAUAUUAAGGUUGCAAGCGUCAUUCUCAAUUUCUGGUGGUAAAGCGUGCUAAGGCGGUUUCAUAACACUGUCGUGAAAGCCCUGGGCUCCUUAUGUGUUUGCUAUGGAUACUGUCGAGCUAGAGUACUGUAGAAGAUGGCAGAAUUUCCCCGUUGUCCGU
rnacentral:rRNA from 1 species